rnacentral:rRNA from 1 species
UACGAGAGGCCCAAACGUUAUUCGGAUUUACUGGGCUUAAAGAGUUCGUAGGCGGCGCGGAAAGUCGGGUGUGAAAGCCCUCGGCUCAACCGAGGAAUUGCGCUCUAAACUGCCGCGCUCGAGGAACCUAGAGGUGAGCAGAACUGAUGGUGGAGCGGUGAAAUGCGUUGAUACCAGCAGGAAUACCGGAGGCGAAGGCGGCUCACUGGGGGUUAUCUGACGCUGAGGAACGAAAGCCAGGGGAGCAAACGGG